rnacentral:rRNA from 1 species
GAACUUAGCAGAGAUGCUUUGGUGCCUUCGGGAACUCUGAGACAGGUGCUGCAUGGCUGUCGUCAGCUCGUGUUGUGAAAUGUUGGGUUAAGUCCCGCAACGAGCCGCAACCCUUAUCCUUUGUUGCCAGCGGUCCGGCCGGGAACUCAAAGGAGACUGCCAGUGAUAACUGGAGGAAGGUGGGGAUGACGUCAAGUCAUCAUGGCCCUUACGAGUAGGGCUACACACGUGCUACAAUGGCGCAUACAAAGAGAAGCGACCUCGCGAGAGCAAGCGGACCUCAUAAAGUGCGUCGUAGUCCGGAUUGGAGUCUGCAACUCGACUCCAUGAAGUCGGAAUCGCUAGUAAUCGUAGAUCAGAAUGCUACGGUGAAUACGUUCCCGGGCCUUGUACACACCGCCCGUCACACCAUGGGAGUGGGUUGCAAAAGAAGUAGGUAGCUUAACCUUCGGGAGGGCGCUUACCACUUUGUGAUUCAUGACUGGGGUGAAGUCGUAACAAGGUAGGCGUAGCGAG